GGGUGUAGAACUCCUUCCAUGCUGAUUGAAUCAGGCACCCCACAAUAGAAGGCAUAAGACUUUCUUAUGUAAUAACCCAUGGGGCAUCCAAUAAUCUUGGAUGUACAAGAGAGAAAGAGAGAUGGGGUGUGAAAACCAUUGGUGGCCUUGUGGCAUGAAGCCUCUUCAUGUGAAAACCAAGGGGCAUCCAAAAAUCUACAUGAAAACAUUAGGGGACAUGGACAAUUUUAGCCGCA
rnacentral:lncRNA from 1 species